UGCAGUUCGAGGGGCAGCGGGGGUAGCAAUACCUGCCGGCGACCGGCAAACGNGUGCGGAACACGUACGCAACCUUCCUUUAACUGGAGAAUAGCCCCUUCGAAAGAGGGAUUAAUACUCCGUAACAUAUUGAUAAGGCAUCUUAUUAAUAUUAUAGUCUUCGGACGGUUAAAGAUGGGCGUGCGCCUGAUUAGAUAGUUGGUGAGGUAACGGCUCACCAAGUCUGCGAUCAGUAACUGGUGUGAGAGCACGACCAGUCACACGGGCACUGAGACACGGGCCCGACUCCUACGGGAGGCAGCAGUAAGGAAUAUUGGUCAAUGGACGCAAGUCUGAACCAGCCAUGCCGCGUGGAGGAUUAAGGCCCUCUGGGUUGUAAACUCCUUUUAUCUGGGAAGAAAUGCCAUUUUUCUAAAUGGUUUGACGGUACCAGAGGAAUAAGCACCGGCUAACUCCGUGCCAGCAGCCGCGGUAAUACGGAGGGUGCAAGCGUUAUCCGGAUUCACUGGGUUUAAAGGGUGCGUAGGCGGGCAGGUAAGUCCGUGGUGAAAUCUCUGAGCUUAACUCAGAAACUGCCAUGGAUACUAUUUGUCUUGAAUACUGUGGAGGUAAGCGGAAUAUGUCAUGUAGCGGUGAAAUGCUUAGAUAUGACAUGGAACACCAAUUGCGAAGGCAGCUUACUACACAAAUAUUGACGCUGAGGCACGAAAGCGUGGGGGAUCAAACANGGAUUAGAUACCCNUGGUAGUUCCACGCCCUAAACGAUNAAUUACUCGACCUCAGCGAUACACUGGUUGGUGUCUGAACGAAAGCAUUUAAGUAAUGGGUCCCCCAA
rnacentral:rRNA from 1 species